rnacentral:lncRNA from 1 species
GAUAAGGCUGUGGACAUCUCUGAAGGCCCAGAUCCAGCUUCCUACCAACUUGUUAGGACCAUGUCUUGGAAGCCCACACUGUCAUCUUUGUUUCCUGCUACUGAUCAGGAGAGUAAGUCACUAGGGCUAUUCUAGAUUUAAGGGAAGAGAAAUCUUGAGAGAGCAUGUUAUGUGCGUGAUCAUGUCUAAUAAUUAUAGUUUCUUUAAUCUGUACAUUAACUUUUCUGUUGAAGGUUUUGCAAUUAUUAUGUCAAUUUUUAUAAGGGUAUGGGGCACUGUCUGGAACAUUUGCUAUUCUACCAGGUGGUAGAACAGUGACUCUUUAGACACGGAGGUGUACAGCAUCCCUCUGUCUUUAUCAGGAUUUUUCACUCUCUAGGUGUCAGCAUUUUGGGCUGGGAAAUCCUUUGUUGAGGGUCUGUUCCCCUCAUGGGCUUUUGAACAGCAUUUCUAUCCUGCACCUACCAUUUGCUGGUAGCACCCUUGCAAGCUUUCCUAGUUGUGUUUGCCAAAAAUGUCUCUAACUGUAGCUACAAGUUUCUUGGAUGGUUGAGAAUGUGGAACCUCAUGGAGAGGCUUAUCAAAGUCUCCUGGCUGAGAGGCAUCAUGUAUAGGGAAUGUUGAAACUGUUUCUUCAGCUGUUGGGACCUGUCUCUGCUCUCACCAUCUGCAGUCCCCACCCACCCUCUGCACUGUUUGUUUUCCGUGCGUUUGUGUCUUGAUGAGGACAGAGGAUAAAUUCCUUAUCUAUCUAGCCAACUACUCGUCUGUCUGAACUUUACCAAUAACUUUUCCUUGGUUGUGUUGUUUCUUCACUACUAAAUUCUAAACACAAUAAAGUUAGAAAAUACAGCUUUCAAAUAAAUCAGACAUUGCCCUGGUUUAAUUUACCAUUUUCCAUCCAGCAGUCACUUCUUCUUCUUCUUUUUUAAACAGCAGUUGUGGCAAGCACAUUUUUAAUAAGGAAAUUUGUGGGUGGGAAAGUUGGAGUAACUCAUUUAUGGGCUCAUGAAGAAGGUUGGCUGGAGCUGAAAGAAACUGGGUGAUCUUGAUGUCGGGUAUGACCUGAUAUUAAAUCAUUAUUAGAAGAGAUUCAAUUUUUCUAAAAAUAGUGAUGUUUGCAUAAUCACGUUCUUGCCUGCUUUCCUGUGGCGUGCCUGCUUAUAAAAUCACUGGAACAAAUAGAGACCAAAUCCCUGCGCGCAGAUUUUAUUAGCAUCUUGCCCAAGUCAGUUGAAUUAAUUAGUACGCAGCUUUAUAGGACUCCAGUCUUGUCUCUGUCUUAUUGCUUCAUGUCUUUUCUAAGUUAAGGCACACAAUCACGUAACAAGUAGUUACAUGUUAAACUCACCUUAGUCUGCUUAAUGUGAGGCUCUUGUGAAAAGAUUCUGUAGGGAAACUGAAACGUUUAUUCUGCUUGCUUUUAAUGUCGUAUUUCCUUCUCUGUCUUAGAGAAGAUGUGAGUGUGCUUAUAACGUACCUUGCACCAAAUGCCACAGUCCUUCUAUGCUGUAUUUUGGUACAGCGAUUUUAUCCGAGGCUACUUCUAUUUGUAGACUCACUAGUCAUUACACCAAAUGCCCGCAGAGCACAGCUGUUUUAGGUGGCAUCUCCAUAGACUGUCACAGUGAGAAUGAGGUAUGUCGGCCUUAGCAUGCUCUGCACCUCCCUCCAGAGCUCUCACACAUUCAGCUCUGCUCUCACAUUCCUGGUGGCUCCUUCCUGCUCCGUGAGGAGGAGUGCAUCUUGGCAUUUCUGCUACUGUGUCUAAGGCACGCUACUCUGCUGUUUGUUACUAUCCCACAGUGCUUACAAUUUAAUUUUCUUUUACUCACAAAACAAAGCCUUGGGUCCCUUCACUCCACUCCCAGAAGGUUUAGUCUUGACAGACACUUCAAGGACCAUCCUCUUUUCUGCCAGCUGCUGACAUCCAUCACAUGGCUAUAGAUCCAGCCUCAGCUUUGUCAGUGAAACUCUUUCUUGCAAGUAUCUGGGUUGUGGCUGGAUUACCGUUGUUCUACAUACCAAAAAAAGUAGUUGUGAGGGGAUUACUUUUUAUGGAUCUUUAAGUUGCAGAGGAAUUUAAGUUCGAAUGAUGUUCUUGGCUUAGUCCAGAUUUCCUACUUUUCCUUCUGAAUUUUAGGAUGAACUAUUUAGCAUGGUUAAAAAAAAAGUCUCUAAUCUAAAAGUAUCAGUAACUUCUGAGUUUUAGCCAUGUGCUGUUGCUGUCUGUUUUGCUGUUGUAAGCACGUCGUCACGGCUGCUCCGUAGGUUAUUGGGUGCUCGCUGAAUGCUGUACAUACCAAACUGACUCUUCAUAUACUUCUCUCAUCUACUAUUCUUGGAAGAUGUUACAUUUUAUAGAUUAAGAAACAGAGGCUAUGGGUACUUUGCCCAAGAUCUUAGAAGCUACAUGUCAUAUUUGAGUUAUAACUCAGCCUGUCUAGCUUUGAAACUUCAAUUCUUACUCUUUUU